rnacentral:lncRNA from 1 species
GGAAAAGUGACACUUCUUGUGAUAACCGUGUAUGACUGUCACCCUUUCCAAUCAAUAGGCCACAGUUAUGUGCAAGAACGCAUCCAGGAUUGCAUAUCAACUCCAAGGAGGUGACUGGUGGUCCCCUUUUCUAGACAGGGCACCUGGAGGCCACCUAUUCUCAGACCUCAGCAUGGCUCCAAAAGGAUCAGAGCUCUUUGCCAAAGAAAUGUUCAAAUAUCCAUGAAGAAAGGGGAGAAGAAAUUCAGAGGUCCUCAGAUGAUCUGGAGAUGACCUGGCUUACAGUAGUACUGAAUCUGGAACUCAUCAGACCUGCUGUUUUUCAUGCCCUGCACAGCAACCCAGGGGACUGACUUGCCCAAGGUCCUCCUGUAAAUGGAAUCGCUAGAAGCAGACCCUGAAUCCCUCACCUCUUCAUGGUGAGUGCUUAAUGUCCACCUUGGACUGGGGCUGUGUCCUAUUUUCUUAAGAGGGUCUACUAGAACAGAUAUUUCUAGCUUAAUGUUUAUAGUCAGAGAAGGUAGAAACGAACAAAAACAAUAAUCACAACACGAGGGUCUCCAGUUCUAAGGAAACUGUUGUCAGCGUUGAGGUCUGUAAUAGCCACUUGUAAAUGUGUAAUGGGAAAGGAGUGGGACUUGUGGCUGAUGUCAGCAGGGCAGCUUUUGUCAGAAGCUGCUCUUUUUGCUUUUCCUUUAGAAGCCAGAUCUGAAAGACCCAUUUUCCUCAGAAUUUCUGCUCCGAGGUAAGGCUGGAGGCCUCCUUUCACUCCUACAGUUCAUUUAGGCUGCACUCAGGGUGGUUUCCAAUCAGCAUGGAAACAUUUGUACCUUG